rnacentral:rRNA from 1 species
UUGCUCUUCAACGAGGAAUUCCUAGUAGGCGUGAGUCAUCAGCUCGCGUCGAUUACGUCCCUGCCCUUUGUACACACCGCCCGUCGCUACUACCGAUUGAAUGGCUUAGUGAGGUCUCCGGAUCGGCGUCAGGGAGCCGGAAACGGCACCCAGUCGCUGAGAAGCUGAUCAAACUUGGUCAUUUAGAGGAAGUAAAAGUCGUAACAAGGUUUCCGUAGGUGAACCUGCGGAAGGAUCAUUAACGAAUGACCCUCUGGGUUAUUUACCCUCGCUGUGCGGCUUCGGCCUGCACGCUUGGGAUCCACACACCUGUGCACCUUCGUUUGGGGGGCUUCGGCCUUCCUCUCGCUCACACACACUUUAAAGUCCUGAAUGUCAUAAAUCAUAACAAAUACAACUAUGAGCAACGGAUCUCUUGGCUCUCGCAUCGAUGAAGAACGCAGCGAAAUGCGAUAAGUAAUGUGAAUUGCAGAAUUCAGUGAAUCAUCGAAUCUUUGAACGCACCUUGCACUCCGUGGUUUACCACGGAGUACGCCCGUUCGAGUGUCACGUUAACCAUCGCCAAAGGAGAGGUAACACUUUCCUGCGGCGGAACUGGGCGCUGCCGUAGUUGGCUCGCCUGAAAUGCAUUAGCGAGGGUGGAUGCACCUUACGGCGUGAUAAUGUCAUCGUCCUGAAAGUGUUGAAGCUCUGCUUCGAAUCGUCCGGCGUAUCUGGACAGUAUUCACAGUUUGACCUCGAAUCGGGUGGGACUACCCGCUGAACUUAAGCAUAUCAAUAAGCGGAGGA